rnacentral:lncRNA from 1 species
UUUUUUUUUUUUUUUUUUUUUUUUCCCAAUUUACUUGUAUCUGGGAAAGGAGGCUUCUGUUAUUAUUCUUGUUUUGCCUGAGGUGAUUAGUCUGCACCUCUGGGCUUAGAUUUGUAGAAUGGCAGGGACUUCCAGCUGUAGUUUCACAACAACCUAGAGUGUCCAGUGAUCUGAAGCCUGUUGAGAAAUCCUCAAAAUUAAAUUAACCUCAGUUCACGUAGGCUUUUUUCUUUCUUUUUUUUUUUUUUUUUUUAAGAUUUUAUUUAUUCAUUCAUGAGAGACACAGGGAGAGAGAGAGAGGCAGGCUCCAUGCAGGGAGCCCAAUGUGGGACUUGAUCCCGGGACUCCAGGAUCACGCCCCGGGCCCAAGGCAGGAGCUAAACCCCUGAGCCACCCAGGGAUCCCAAGUUCACGUAGGCUUAAUAAAUUAACGUCACUCUGCACUGUAAGGAAGAGAAGAGAGAAUAUUGGGAAAUCAAACAGAUUGGUGCUCUUGGAGAUGAUUUUGGGCAUCACUACUUUUCCUAUCUUCUUUUUUUUUUUUAAAGAUUUUAUUGAUUUAUUCACGAGAGACACAGAGAGAGAGACAUAGGCAGAGGGAGGAGAAGCAGGCUUCAUGCAGGGAGCCUAAUGUGGGACUUGAUCUGGGGACUCCAGGAUCAUACCCUGAGCUGAAGGCUGAUGCUCAACCACUCAGCCACUCAGGCAUCCCAGCUUUUCCUAUCUUCAUGGCAGGAAUAUGUUGUUGAUUUGUUUAAAGAAAAAAGGAAAGAAAGAAAGAAAAACGUAAGGACAGAAGUGUGGCAGCUGUAUUAACAAUCAUCAUAGGGCAGCCCAAGUGACUCAGCAGUUUAGCGCCACCUUCAGCCCCGGGUGUGAUCCUGGAGACCUGGGAUUGAGUCCCAUGUCAGGCUUCCUGCGUGGAGCCUGUUUCUCCCUCUACCUGUGUCUCUGCCUCUCUCUCUCUCUCUCUGUCUUUCAUGAAUAAAUAAAUAAAAUCUUAAAAAAACAACAACAACAAUCAUAGUCUCUGAUGGGGCCAUCCAAAUGUAACUCACAGCACACUUGCUUUCCGGAAGACCACUGUAUGGCUUACUGUAUGGAUCUGCUCUGCGAUAAUGUAGAUUCACCUACUUUUUUGAUAGAGAGUUCCCCUCUUUGCCCUCACCUUCUUCCCUUUCUUAAAAAAGUUUCCAAACUUUUUAAUUUUCAACCCAUUUAAACAGUGAUUCAAAUAUCAGGAGCAUCCAAAGAACAUUUGAAAUUUCCAUUCAUCAAGCGUCUUUGACUAAACAGCAGAAGUUCAGGCAGGAUGCAUCCAAGGCUGUGGGUAGAAUCUGGGGUUUAUCAGCUCUGUAGCUGGGGGCUUAGGGGGUUAUUUGAGAUACAGUCCUGAGGGUUCUCCAGAGCGAAAGACGUAUGACGCUUCAUAAGGAGAAAUGAAUAGCAAUAGAAAGGACAUAAGUGUAGCUGAUUCUAGCACAGGCUGAUUUCCCUUCGCUCUGGCUAAAUACUUUUUCUGAAGCUGACUCACUGACAGUCCAUUGCCUGAUACUUAACAUUCUGUGCAAUGGGAGCUGUUGUUUAGGGCUUUUUCCUCUAGGAAAGUUUUGGGUAGGGCAGCCCGGGUGGCUCAGUGGUUUAGGAAAGUUUUGGGGAAGGUUUGAGAAAAGGGAAUAUUUUUGGCAGGGAUAAACGUAUAGAAGAGAGAGCUAUAGAAAGCAGGGAAAUGCAGGACUAUUUUUUGUGCAGUGUUUUGUUGAUCAAAAAAAACCUUUGCCCCAGCCUGAUUCCAAUUUAUGUUAUAUCAGAGGAUAGGCAGCUCCUAUGUUAUAAGAUUAGGGGGGAAAAUACCCCAAAUCUUGUUCCAAAGCUUGUCAAUGAACAUAGUCCUUUAGUUUCACCGGACUUGGUGACCACCUAGUAUCUCUGUGAAAACUGUAGUGUCCAGAGUCCUGCUUGUAGCCAGCCUAGUGAGAUUAUUAAAACUCACCCAAGGGCUGCAGACAAUUAAAAUAAUGAUGUGCAGCUUCACAAAUUGGCAUGAGUAACUUGGGUGAUACCAAAGAGGAAAGGAGGAUUUUGAGCCUCUCCAGUAAAUCAGCUUUAAUGAGGAUGUUCUUUGCUUUUCCUGCCACCCUUUCUAGUUCUAAAAUAAAGCUACCAAGAUCUGCGGAUGUAAUCCUCACAAUGAUCCUGUCCCCAGACAAGAUGGCCCUCUGUCUAAAAGUCACAUUCUCUGUCUUACACUCUUGUUUCUCUUUUACUGAAAAGGUCAGCUGGAAUGAGGUAUUGCAUGUAACCUUUGCAAUUUCCAUUUGAUCUUAUGAGGAGAGAGGAAAAGAUUAGAUUUGAGUUGUGAGAAAAUUCAAUGCUUGCUUCGCAGUCUCUCCUUUCCAUCAUGGGGUGGUAUGUUUUCCAACCUCUUGGGGAGUCCAAUUGAUUAAACAAGGCUCAUUCUGAGCUUGAAUCAAACAUGAGUUGAGGGCUGGGGAGGCCCCCAGCCGUUUGAAGGACCACCUGUUUGCAAAGAAACCUUAAAAAAGACAGUAAAAAUAUUUUUUUUUUUUUUUAAUAGAGCUAGCUCAGGCAAGGUAACAUCUUAAGGGAAUAAGCUGUAACUGAAUUAGAAACAGGUGGAUUAACUUUUCUUGAAAAGAUCCUUCGUUAAAACAAUUAGGAGGAAAUGUUUGGCAUGAUGCAUUUCAGAUCUGGUACAACUGAGACCGUUUACAGGCAAGGAGGCAAUUCACUGGAACUAGCGUGUAUGUAUCAUCUAAUGAUUGAUGUUAUGGCGCAUGAGUAUACACAAUAUACAUAUUAUAUAUAUUAUUGAUAAAAGCCUUCCCAUUGGCUAAUGUGUCUCAGUGAUCAGUAAAUAAAUAAAACUCUGUUUACACUUCUAUUUUUUAAGAUUAAUUUUUUAAAAAUUUAAGUUUAUUUAUUUAAGCAAUCUCUACACCCAGCACGUGGCUUGAACUCACAAUCCAGAGUCACAUGCUCCACCAACUGAGGCAGCCAGGCAUCCCUACACUUCUGGUUUUGAAUCACUAGUUUCUACUAAAAAGCCACCACACCAACCACUAAAUCUCCAACUCUAUUGAUAAUUAGUUCUAAAAACAGAAAUUUAAAAAUAAAUGUCUUAUUAUCUCACCUCUUAAAUUUAUAUCAUUUGACAUCCUCACAGUUCCUAAUAGAGAAAGUGAAGAUUAGUGAAACAAACUAUUAGGUUAGAAAGAACAUGUCAAGAUUGGCCCACUCUAAAAAGUGUGACUCAUUCUCAGGUUAUAUGUGUGUAUGUAUAUGCAUGUGUGUGAAUAAACUUGUUCUUAUACUUCUAAAAUGCUCACUAAGCGAACUAGGAAUUUCCCCCUGUAAUUUGAGGACAAACUUUUAUACAGCAGGUGUACCUUACUUACCUGCAUUGUAUCUAUCACAAGGAGUACAGCAAAUAAAUCUUAGAGUCAAGAUUAUCCUUGAUAAACCCCUUUAAUGUUUUAUGAAAUGGAAUAUAGGGACAGCCCUCACUGGGUCCAAUAGAGCCAGGUUUUUCUCCAGCAGUGGAUCAGACUGCUUUUUUGUUUGAUUGUUUUUUGGCUGGGAACCAGAUGAAUCAGCUAGCCCUUAUUUAGAGGCCCUGAUGUACCCCCAAACACUUCACUUUCAAGCCCUGGCCUUACAUUCACCCUUACUUCUGAGAGGUACAAGGGAAGUAAAACCAGCCAAGCUGACAGCAGGUCCACUCUAGGUCCUGUUACUGAGUGAGUGGAUGGGUGGUUGGAUUAUCCACACUACUGAAAGUGUUAUCUUUCUCUUUCUUUUGGGGGUAGGGAGUGGGGAAUGGGCCAAAUGUGCAUAGUUGAAUCUAUGUCAUAUGAUAUGUUAUGAUUCUACAGUAAAUAUUUAUUGAAUUAAUAAAUAUUUGAGAUGGAAGUAAACAUUAUUUGGUUCAGUGGCUCUAUUGACUCUUGUAUGAAUAUACGCUGGGAAAAUGGUUUAAAUGGCUUUCAGAAAUAGCAAAGCAUGUGAAAAAGGCAAAGGAGAAAAU